rnacentral:rRNA from 1 species
UGGCGGACGGGUGAGUAACGCGUGGGUAACCUGCCUUACACAGGGGGAUAACACCUGGAAACAGGUGCUAAUACCGCAUAAGCGCACAGGGCCGCAUGGCCCGGUGUGAAAAACUCCGGUGGUGUAAGAUGGACCCGCGUCUGAUUAGCUUGUUGGCGGGGUAGGGGCCCACCAAGGCGACGAUCAGUAGCCGGCCUGAGAGGGUGAACGGCCACAUUGGGACUGAGACACGGCCCAGACUCCUACGGAAGGCAGCAG